UACGAAGGGGGCUAGUGUUGCUCGGAAUCACUGGGCGUAAAGCGCACGUAGGCGGCUUCUUAAGUCAGGGGUGAAAUCCUGGAGCUCAACUCCAGAACUGCCUUUGAUACUGAGGAGCUUGAGUCCGGGAGAGGUGAGUGGAACUGCGAGUGUAGAGGUGAAAUUCGUAGAUAUUCGCAAGAACACCAGUGGCGAAGGCGGCUCACUGGCCCGGUACUGACGCUGAGGUGCGAAAGCGUGGGGAGCAAACAGG
rnacentral:rRNA from 1 species